rnacentral:rRNA from 1 species
UACGUAGGGUGCGAGCGUUAAUCGGAAUUACUGGGCGUAAAGCGUGCGCAGGCGGUUGUGCAAGACAGAGGUGAAAUCCCCGGGCUUAACCUGGGAACUGCCUUUGUGACUGCACGGCUAGAGUGUGUCAGAGGGGGGUAGAAUUCCACGUGUAGCAGUGAAAUGCGUAGAUAUGCGGAGGAAUACCGAUGGCGAAGGCAGCCCCCUGGGAUAACACUGACGCUCAUGCACGAAAGCGUGGGGAGCAAACAGG